AGAGAGAGACAUGCGCGCAUAUCAAUAAGCGGAGGAAAAGAAACUAACUAGGAUUCCCUCAGUAACGGCGAGUGAAGUGGGAAGAGCUCAAAUUUGAAAUCUUCAAGGUUCUACCUUGACGAAUUGUAGUUUAAAGAAGUGUUUUCUGUUGGAGGUUUUGGUAAAAGUUCUUUGGAAUAGGACAUCAUAGAGGGUGAGAAUCCCGUAUUUGACCAUUAUUUCCAGCUUUGUGAUACACUUUCAAAGAGUCGGAUUGUUUGGGAAUGCAGUCCAAAAUGGGUGGUAAAUUUCAUCUAAAGCUAAAUAUUGGCGAGAGACCGAUAGCGAACAAGUACCGUGAGGGAAAGAUGAAAAGAACUUUGAAAAGAGAGUUAAACAGUACGUGAAAUUGUCAAAAGGGAAGCGUUUGACACCAGUGUUGUUUUCUCGAAAAUCAAUUAAAAAAGGCAGGAUUUUGUGUUGUAUUGACUUUAUCAGCUUUCUGCACUCUUUUCUUGUCUUUUUUAAUGCACUUCUCGUUUAACAAGUCAACAUCAAUUUCUUUUGUUGUAAAAGGGUCAUUGGAAGGUGGCUUUCUUUUCGGAGAAAGUGUUUAUAGCCUUUGGCCUCUGCAAUCGGAGAGAUUGAGGUCUGCAGCGUAGAUCCUUCGGGGUUAGAUACAUUUGUGCUAAGUUAUAGCCUUUCAUAGACAACUUGUUGACUAUGAUCAGUCAUGUAGCUUACUCGCUUAUGCUAUUUUACCUACGCUUAGGAUGUUGAUGUGAUACUGCGAGC
rnacentral:rRNA from 1 species